UCAGUUCAAUGCUCAUAACGCAUUACACAGUGAAAUUUCCCUAAAGUAAAUUAAGAAGAAGAGUGUGAAAUCCAGCUAAACAGAGGGAAUAUGAAGAUCGUUCAAGUGCUUGUUCUGGUAUUUGUUAUGAUAUACCUGGGGGAAACACGUCAUGUGCGCGAGAAAAGACAAGACCAGUGCUUUUGCUUCGACACGCACCAAGAAGGAAUCCUUUUUUUCGAUCAUUGUCCAGGGCACUUAGGAAGGUGUGAUCAUUCUGACUCCCCCUUUCCCGGUUAUGUUUGUUGCAUUUUUAACCGUUAGCGUUGACAAUACCUAUAUAAUGUUAAUCUCUUGAUAAUCAUAUUCAUGUUCGUGACGUAAAUAAAAGUUAAAAACCAG